rfam:Ceratocystis platani strain CFO contig_00005, whole genome shotgun sequence.
GGCAAGAUGGCCGAGUUGGUUAUGGCGUCAGGUUAAGGUCGUUCCUUAACGCAAGUUUCCUGAUGGAGAAAUCCGCCUGGGUUCGAGUCCCAGUCUUGUCA